AAGAAAAUACAGGCAAUGGCUGCUCAAAAUAAUUAAGAAGGCAUUCUAAAUACCACAUAUUAUUAGACAACAGCGUGUAAAGUGAUGCAAUUAGAAAACAGGCAACUUAAAAAAAAUAUGGUCACAGGUCUUUGAGAACUCAAGAAAACAAUCAAUAGCAAACACAAGAGCUGAAAGUUGUCUCAGCUGAGGGUUGAAACUGAAAGUGAAAGUGAAAGUGAUGUUGCUCAGUCGUAU